rnacentral:antisense_RNA from 1 species
UAGAGACGGGGUUUCACCGUGUUAGCCAGGAUUGUCUGGAUCUCCUGACCUCGUAAUCCACCCACCUGGCCUCCCAAAGUGCUAGGAUUACAGGUGUGAGCCACGGCGCCCUGAGGACUGGCAGACCCACCUGACUUUCUUGGAGUAGAGGAGGAAGAGGAGGAAGAAGAGGUGCAGGAGGAAGACCAGUGCUGACUGAGCCAGCGGGAAGCAGAAUCUCUGGAGGGCCAUGCAGAGCCUUGGGGACUGACCAAGUUCCCCCACUGAGGGGUCCCAGGCUGGACCGACAGGAGAGCCUGGGAGGAGUUCUGAUCCUGGAGAGGAGGUUGGCCCAGCCAGGGAGACAUGUCCUGCUUCAGAGAGGCCUUUCUAAAAACAAAACCCAUCCCUGAGGUUAUCCGGGUCCUCAUCCAUCUCCAUCCUGCAAGACAAAGUCAUCCCAAGGCUCUCCCGCACCCAAGAGCUCCAGAGAACAGCCAAACCACACGCACUGCACUCCCAGACACACUCCAGUCUGGUGAGCCCCAUUCCACUACCCCUCCCAGAUGACAAGGGGCCAGACUCAGUGGCCCCACCCCUGACUAGAUCUCUGAAGUCCUUGCCUCCAACCAGUGGUGGGCUCCUUCCUGAGGAUUUGAGCACACGGGGACCUGGACAGAGAGGCCUAUUGUCCCCGAACACCCCAAGGCAGACACACACCUGCCCUGGCAGGACAAACGGCGUCCACUUGCUGAGGGUGAAGUCCCC